CACACUUCAUCCUUCAAUAACAAUGAUCCAACAUUUAAAAUUAAUUUAUACUAUAAUUUUAAUAAGUUGGCAAAAAACAUACGAUAUUAGGUACGGGUACAGGCUAGUUUAAUAAGAUCAUGGAACCGUAAACCUUGGAGUACAUUUAGGUACUAUAAUCACAUGCGCUGAUAGUGGAUUUCAGGAAGGAAAAAGAACUUAUCGUAAAUACCAACAUUUAGAUUAGCAAGAACAGACAGACAUAUAUUAAAUAUCUACAAAGUAGCUGUUUCCCGAGACUUCAUCCACGUG